GAAAUGUGAUAAGUAGUGUGAAUUGCAGAAUUCAGUGAAUCAUCGAAUCUUUGAACGCACAUUGCGCCCUUUGGUAUUCCAAAGGGCAUGCCUGUUCGAGCGUCAUUUGUACCCUCAAGCUUUGCUUGGUGUUGGGCGUCUUGUCUCUAGCUUUGCUGGAGACUCGCCUUAAAGUAAUUGGCAGCCGGCCUACUGGUUUCGGAGCGCAGCACAAGUCGCACUCUCUAUCAGCAAAGGUCUAGCAUCCAUUAAGCCUUUUUUCAACUUUUGACCUCGGAUCAGGUAGGGAUACCCGCUGAACUUAAGC
rnacentral:misc_RNA from 1 species